UACGAAGGUGGCAAGCGUUACUCGGAAUUACUAGGCGUAAAGGGCAGGUAGGUGGUUUGAUAAGUCUGUUGUGAAAGCUCCUGGCUUAACUGGGAGAGGUCAACAGAUACUAUCAGGCUUGAGUAUGGGAGAGGGUACUGGAAUUCCUGGUGUAGCGGUGAAAUGCGCAGAGAUCAGGAGGAACACCGAUGGCGAAAGCAGGUACCUGGACCAUUACUGACACUCAGCUGCGAAAGCUAGGGGAGCAAACAGG
rnacentral:rRNA from 1 species